GUGGGGGAUAUUGCACAAUGGGGGAAACCCUGAUGCAGCAACGCCGCGUGAGUGACGAAGGUCUUCGGAUUGUAAAACUCUGUUCUUGGUGAAGAUAAUGACGGUAGCCAAGGAGAAAGCUCCGGCUAACUACGUGCCAGCAGCCGCGGUAAUACGUAGGGAGCGAGCGUUGUCCGGAAUUACUGGGUGUAAAGGGUGCGUAGGCGGCCUUGCAAGUCAGGCGUGAAAACCAUGGGCUCAACCCGUGGACUGCGUUUGAAACUGUGAGGCUUGAGUGAAGUAGAGGUAGGCGGAAUUCCCGGUGUAGCGGUGAAAUGCGUAGAGAUCGGGAGGAACACCAGUGGCGAAGGCGGCCUACUGGGCUUUAACUGACGCUGAGGCACGAAAGCAUGGGUAGCAAACAGG
rnacentral:rRNA from 1 species